rnacentral:rRNA from 1 species
AUUGAACGCUGGCGGAAUGCUUUACACAUGCAAGUCGAACGGCAGCACGGACUUCGGUCUGGUGGCGAGUGGCGAACGGGUGAGUAAUGUAUCGGAACGUGCCCAGUCGUGGGGGAUAACGUAGUGAAAAUUACGCUAAUACCGCAUACGAUCUAUGGAUGAAAGCGGGGGACCGUAAGGCCUCGCGCGAUUGGAGCGGCCGAUAUCAGGUUAGGUAGUUGGUGGGGUAAAGGCUCACCAAGCCGACGAUCUGUAGCUGGUCUGAGAGGACGAGCAGCCACACUGGAACUGAGACACGGUCCAGACUCCUACGGGAGGCAGCAGUGGGGAAUUUUGGACAAUGGGCGCAAGCCUGAUCCAGCCAUUCCGCGUGCAGGAUGAAGGCCCUCGGGUUGUAAACUGCUUUUGUACGGAACGAAAAGGUCCUGGUUAAUACCUGGGGCUCAUGACGGUACCGUAAGAAUAAGCACCGGCUAACUACGUGCCAGCCGCCGCGGUAA